AUUGAACGCUGGCGGCAGGCUUAACACAUGCAAGUCGAGCGAGCGGCGGACGGGUGAGUAAUGUCUGGGAAACUGCCUGAUGGAGGGGGAUAACUACUGGAAACGGUAGCUAAUACCGCAUACCAUUCUAUGUGCCCAGAUGGGAUUAGCUAGUAGGUGGGGUAAUGGCUCAUCUAGGCGACGAUGCCUAGCUGGUCUGAGAGGGUGACCAGCCACACUGGAACUGAGACACGGUCCAGACUCCUACGAGAGGCAGCAGUGGGGAAUAUUGCACAAUGGGCGCAAGCCUGAUGCAGCCAUGCCGCGUGAGUGAAGAAGGCCUUCGGGUUGUAAAGCACUGUCAGCGAGGAGGCGUUACUCGAAGAAGAAGCACCGGCUAACUCCGUGCCAGCAGCCGCGGUAAUUC
rnacentral:rRNA from 1 species